CGCCUCUUGAAUAUAUAAGAGGUCCAGCCUGCCCAGUGACUUUGUUCAACGGCCGCGGUAUUCUGACCGUGCGAAGGUAGCGUAAUCACUUGUUCUCUAAAUAAGGACUAGUAUGAACGGCACCACGAGGGCCACACUGUCUCCCUCCCCCUAUCAGUGAAACUGAUCCCCCCGUGAAGAAGCGGGGAUCUAGAUAUAAGACGAGAAGACCCCUUGGAGCUUCAAACGACAUGGCACCUGCUUAACAAACCCACCCCACGGAACUACCAUUCUAAGCAAGCACACAUGACCACUAGUUUUUGGUUGGGGCGACCCCGGAGAAUAACAAAACCUCCGAGAUGUAUAGGGCACCCGCCCUAAGCCGAAAGCCACUGCUUUAAGCAUCAACCCUUUGACACCCCUUGACCCAAUUUAAUUGAUCAACGAACCAAGUUACCCCGGGGAUAACAGCGCAAUCCAUUUUCAGAGCCCCUAUCGACAAAUGGGUUUACGACCUCGAUGUUGGAUCAGGGUACCCCAGUGGUGAAGCCGCUACUAAAGGUUCGUUUGUUCAACGAUUAAAACCCU
rnacentral:rRNA from 1 species